ACCUACGUACAUGUAUGACUCGAAUAAAAAAUCUGCCUUCUCUCUCCUAAUACACUCGAUCACAAAAGCGUGACGCUGAUUUAAUCGAGAUGAAUCGCUUACAGGAAUCCUGCCUGCAAAAGCAGGUCACAUAUAUCAUCGAGACAACCUUCCAAUGUCCGUUCAGAAGUCCAUACGCGAUGGAAAGAAAUAGAAAGUGAAUCGUCGGUGACUCGUCCUAUUUCGCACGAGGGGUCAUCUUUUACGUGACCAAAUAUUUGGAUGACAGAAACGAAAUGACGUUUGAGAAGAGCCUGACAUUUGCUUUAAGUUAAUGCGCACAGGAUCCGCUCGCAAUAAAACACGCGAUUGUUGCUGCGAAUGAAACUUUACAGGAUAAUUUAGUAUUUGAACAUCGAACAUCCGACAACAAGGCGAAUGUAUAAUGGAGGCAAGAUACGUCGAUUAAAGAAGCAUCCAACGGAAGCGAGAUCGAUUUUACAAAAAUA